rfam:Bombyx mori DNA, contig: Bm_scaf50_contig26488, strain: p50T/Dazao, build 2, whole genome shotgun sequence.
UUAACUCAAAUUUGUAUGGAGUAAAACAGCUUCUCAUCAUUUGCCGCUAGAGGCGCUGUUCCGACUCCAUACAAAUUUCAGUUA